GUGAGGAAUUUUCCGCAAUGGGCGAAAGCCUGACGGAGCAAUGCCGCGUGAAGGAUGAAGGCCUAUGGGUUGUAAACUUCUUUUCUCAGAAAAGAAUUAUGACGGUAUCUGAGGAAUAAGCAUCGGCUAACUCUGUGCCAGCAGCCGCGGUAAGACAGAGGAUGCAAGCGUUAUCCGGAAUGAUUGGGCGUAAAGCGUCUGUAGGUUGUUUAAAAAGUAUUCUGUCAAAGAUUAGGGCUUAACCCUAGAUAGGCAGAAUAAACUUUUAAGCUAGGGUUUGGUAGAUGCAGAGGGAAUUCCCGGUGGAGCGGUGAAAUGCGUAGAUAUCGGGAGGAACACCAAAGGCGAAGGCACUCUGCUGGGCCAAUUCUAACACUGAGAGACGAAAGCGAGGGGAGCAAAUGGGAUUAGAAACCCGAGUAGUCC
rnacentral:rRNA from 1 species